GGUCACCGUCGUACGGGUGCGUAACGCGUAUGCAACCUACCUUCCACUGGGGGAUAGCCCGGGGAAACCCGGAUUAAUACCGCAUGACACAGUUUUGUCACCUGGCAUAGCUGUUAAAGAUUUAUCGGUGGAAGAUGGGCAUGCGUCUGAUUAGCUAGUUGGUGUGGGUAACGGCCCACCAAGGCGACGAUCAGUAGGGGAGCUGAGAGGUUGAUCCCCCACACGGGCACUGAGAUACGGGCCCGACUCCUACGGGAGGCAGCAGUAGGGAAUAUUGGGCAAUGGAUGAGAGUCUGACCCAGCCAUGCCGCGUGCCGGAUGAAGGCCCUCAGGGUUGUAAACGGCUUUUAUCCGGGAAGAAGAGCGGGGGUGCGCCCCCGUGUGACGGUACCGGAUGAAUAAGCACCGGCUAACUCCGUGCCAGCAGCCGCGGUAAUACGGAGGGUGCAAGCGUUGUCCGGAUUUAUUGGGUUUAAAGGGUGCGUAGGUGGCUUGUUAAGUCAGUGGUGAAAGACAGCCGCUCAACGGUUGAGGUGCCAUUGAUACUGACGGGCUUGAAGCAGACAGAGGCUGCCGGAAUGGAUGGUGUAGCGGUGAAAUGCAUAGAUAUCAUCCAGAACACCGAUUGCGAAGGCAGGUGGCUAUGUCUGACUUGACACUGAGGCACGAAAGCAUGGGGAGCAAACAGGAUUAGAUACCCUGGUAGUCCAUGCCGUA
rnacentral:rRNA from 1 species